GAAGGCCCCUCACGCCAUACAUGGAAUCACCCAACUUUGCUCGACAAAUUCUAAGCUGGUCCUUGAUUACUGACACCUUACCACCUAAAAUACAUCAGGAGCAACAGCCUUUCCAAGAGACACGCUUGAAAUAACAUUGGCACUGGAAUAAAGCUGCAUCAAAAUGUGGUGAAGGCCCCUCACGUCAUACAUGGAAUCCCCCAACUUUGCUCGACAAAUUCUAAGCUGGUCCUUGAUUACUGACACCUUACCACCUGAAAUGUAAAUAAAUAAAGUUAAAAUCAUCACAAAAAAUCAUUAAAAGCCAAUAAACUACCCACCAAAUCUAUCAUGUAUUGGCGUACAAAAUAACUAUUUACAUAACAAUCAAUGUCAGUAAAUACGCAAACAAGUUGUAGACAUCAAGCGCAACAGCCAGUGAAAAUAAAACAAACAUCAGUCAUCAAAAGCCAACAAAUAAAACAAUAAACUACUUACCUUGAUUGCUGACACCUUACCAUCAAACCAGCAAAAAAUAAAACUGCAGAUAUAAAUAAGAUUUCAAUUGGCGUAAAAACAAUUAAAAUCACUUUUUCUUUUUCACACCAAUUUUCUUUAAACCUGAAAAUAAAACACUAUACUCAUUAAAAGUCAACAAAUAUAACAACAUAAAUUACCUAACUUGACUGCUUACACUCUAUUACCAAACCUGCAAAUAUAAUAAAAUUAAAUUCAGCCAAAAUACAAUUUAAAACACUUACCAAAUCUGCCGCAAACCUAAAAAAAUAAAACAACUAAAAAAAAAAAAAAGAGCCAACAAAUAUAACAACAUAAACUACACAAAAUUACAUACAAAUUAUUACAAAGCUGAAGACAAAACCUGCCAAUUAAAUAAAUAAAACACAUAUGGUGUACGAAAUUAACUGUAUGUACAUAAUAAAUGUACAUAUGUCAGCAACUAAGCAAGCAGCCAGAAGACAUCCCAACGCAACAUCCAGUGAAUCAACUUGAAAAUAAAAUAAUUAUAUUCAUUAAAAGUCAACAAAUAUAAAAACAUAAUUUACUUAACUUGAUUGCCGACACUCCAUUACCAACAAAAUAUAAACCUGCAAAUAAAAUAAAAUUAAAUUCAUUUUAAUUUCCACAAACAACGCAUCCCGGGUGGCCGGACCAGCAGCCACUCGGCCGAGUGAGCCAUUAAUCAACGACUGUUGACCAACGCAUCCACAAACAAUGCAUCCCGGGUGGCCGGACCAGCAGCCACUCGGCCGAGCGAGCCAAUAAUCAACGACUGUUGACCAACGCAUCCACAAACAAUGCAUCCCGGGUGGCCGGAUCAGCAGCCACUCGGUCGAGCGAGCCAAUAAUCAACGACUGUUGACCAACGCAUCCACAAACAAUGCAUCCCGGGUGGCCGGACAUGCAGCCACUCGGUCGAGCGAGCCAAUCUGAAUUUAGUCUAAAAUUAAAAUAAAGCAAAAAAAAAAAGUAAUAAAUUGUAACCAAUAGUAAUUUGAUAAAUAACGUACUACAUAAGAAAUCGAUAGCUCUGUUAGAUUAAUAUGUUGCCAAAACUCUUCAUGUGUCAGUCCUAAUGUUAAAUGUUGCUAGUCUUAGGUAAUAAGAACAUUAAUAAAGAAAGCUUCAGGUCACUCUAAAGUGCCCUGAGCCAGUCAAAAAAAAAAAAAAAAAAAAAAA